AUAAAAAACCAAUGCCCUUCGGGGCUCCUUGGUGAUUCAUAAUAACUUAACGAAUCGCAUGGCCUUGUGCCGGCGAUGGUUCAUUCAAAUUUCUGCCCUAUCAACUUUCGAUGGUAGGAUAGUGGCCUACCAUGGUUUCAACGGGUAACGGGGAAUUAGGGUUCUAUUCCGGAGAGGGAGCCUGAGAAACGGCUGCCACAUCCAAGGAAGGCAGCAGGCGCAAAUUACCCAAUCCCGACACGGGGAGGUAGUGACAAUAAAUACUGAUACAGGGCUCUUUUGGGUCUUGUAAUUGGAAUGAGUACAAUUUAAAUCCCUUAACGAGGAACAAUUGGAGGGCAAGUCUGGUGCCAGCAGCCGCGGUAAUUCCAGCUCCAAUAGCGUAUAUUAAAGUUGUUGCCGUUAAAAAGCUCGUAGUUGAACCUUGGACCUGGCUGAUCUGUCCUCCUAAUCGAGCGUACGGAUUCGGUCGGGUCUUUCCUUCUGGGGAACCCUAUGCCCUUUAUUGGGUGUAG
rnacentral:rRNA from 1 species